AUUGAACGCUGGCGGCAGGCUUAACACAUGCAAGUCGAGCGGGGUGAUGGUGCUUGCACUAUCACUUAGCGGCGGACGGGUGAGUAAUGCUUAGGAAUCUGCCUAUUAAUGGGGGACAACAUCUCGAAAGGGAUGCUAAUACCGCAUACGUCCUACGGGAGAAAGCAGGGGAUCACUUGUGACCUUGCGCUAAUAGAUGAGCCUAAGUCGGAUUAGCUAGUUGGUGGGGUAAAGGCCUACCAAGGCGACGAUCUGUAGCGGGUCUGAGAGGAUGAUCCGCCACACUGGGACUGAGACACGGCCCAGACUCCUACGGGAGGCAGCAGUGGGGAAUAUUGGACAAUGGGGGGAACCCUGAUCCAGCCAUGCCGCGUGUGUGAAGAAGGCCUUAUGGUUGUAAAGCACUUUAAGCGAGGAGGGGGCUCUUUUGGUUAAUACCCAAGAUGAGUGGACGUUACUCGCAGAAUAAGCACCGGCUAACUCUGUGCCAGCCGCCGCAGUAA
rnacentral:rRNA from 1 species